GGGGGUAUAGCUCAGCUGGGAGAGCGCCUGCCUUGCAAGCAGGAGGUCAGCGGUUCGAAUCCGCUUACCUCCA
rfam:Halanaerobium praevalens DSM 2228, complete genome.